GGCGUCCGAGUUGUAAUUUGUAGAGGAUGCUAUUGAGUUGUCACCGGUCUAAGUUCCUUGGAACAGGACGUCAUAGAGGGUGAGAAUCCCGUAUGUGACCGGCCAGACGCUCUCUGUAUAGCUCCUUCGACGAGUCGGGUUGUUUGGGAAUGCAGCCCUAAAUGGGAGGUAAAUUUCUUCUAAAGCUAAAUACCGGCCAGAGACCGAUAGCGCACAAGUAGAGUGAUCGAAAGAUGAAAAGCACUUUGGAAAGAGAGUUAAAAAGCACGUGAAAUUGUUGAAAGGGAAGCGCUUGCAAUCAGUCUCGACGGCGGCUGUUCGACCUCUCUUCUGAGUGGUUUAUUCAGUCGCCGCCGGGCCAGCAUCAGUUCUGGCGGCCGGACAAAGGCGCAGGGAAUGUAGCUCCUCUCGGGGAGUGUUAUAGCCCUGUGUGCAAUACGGCCUGCCGGGACUGAGGUCCGCGCUUCGGCUAGGAUGCUGGCGAAAUGGUUGUAAGCGGCCCGUCUUGAAACACGGACCAAGGAGUCUAACAUCUAUGCGAGUGUUUGGGUGUCAAACCCGUACGCGUAAUGAAAGUGAACGGAGGUGGGAACCGCAAGGUGCACCAUCGACCGAUCCUGAUGUCUUCGGAUGGAUUUGAGUAAGAGCAUAGCUGUUGGGACCCGAAAGAUGGUGAACUAUGCCUGAAUAGGGUGAAGCCAGAGGAAACUCUGGUGGAGGCUCGCAGCGGUUCUGACG
rnacentral:rRNA from 1 species